rnacentral:misc_RNA from 1 species
GAAAUGCAAUAAGUAAUGUGAAUUGCAGAAUUUAGUGAAUUAUUGAAUCUUUGAACGCAUAUUGCGCCUGCUAGUAUUCUAGCAGGCAUGCCUGUCCAAGCGUUAUUUCAACUAUCAAGCCCCCUGGCUUGUGUUAGGGACCUGCGCGCUGCUGCGCAGGCCCUGAAAAGCAGUGGCAGGCUUGCCAACACACCGAGCGUAGUAGCAUCUGUUCUUGCUUAGGGCGUACUGCAGGUUCCAGCUGUAAAACUAGCGCUUUCUUCUUAGAAGCGUACCCCAAAGGUUAACCUCGGAUCAGGUAGAAGUACCUGCUAAACUUAA